GAGCAAAGGAGUAGGCCCAAGGUGAGUACAUCCCCGCAAACCUUUCCCUAUACACGACGGAGCGCUCAACAGAUACAAAUGGCAUCACUGAUUGGCAGUUGUUGAUGCCGGCGAACACAGCGAUUCCAUACAUGCACCCCAAUAUGGUAAGAUACGUAAUUAAGAGAUGGCUUACAUACAUGUGGUUGAUGUUUCCUUGCUGCCAGAAUAAUACACCAAAGGAAAUGCAUGUGACUGUUACGAACGCCAUUCGCACCAGGAUGUAGGAAGGGGUUCUCCAAUAUGACAAAGACUGCUUCCAGAGGCAAGCUUUGAAUUGCGCCCAAAACUUCUGUGGGAACGGUGUUGCGAAAUGGAGGUCACUUGUACCUGGAACUGGUAUGCUCAAGUGCUUUACCAGUAUGUCCUUGUCCCUUUGAUCAUUAAAUUUACAUACUGAUUAGCAUGGAUAUUUUGUUAGGGUUAAUAUAAAUACUAAGUGAGAGCUCUGUUAGGUCUGGUUAUCCAUGCCCGUUUUCUGUUUUUCACAAGUAUUGUGGAAGGCUGAAAGCAUUACAGUCGAUUUGAAAUUCAACUUUCCAUAAGUUGCUGUGUAGAUUAUUAAGAAUGUUAAGGCACUAGAGCUAACUGUGCUGUUUCUUCGAGACUUACUUGCACAUUGAUGAUUCCCUGUACAGUUGUGCAAAAUCUACUCCCAGUUGAACUUCCAUAGAUGUAGAAGUAACUUCAAACAUCCAUGUUGAUGGGUUGUAAUUGUCCUUGAUCCUGGGCACCCCAGGUAUUGCCUAGAAAAGAAGAGAAAUUAUUUCACUAGUACAUGUAACAUAGGAAAACAACAAUUGGGGAGAAAAGUCAGGUGAUGGUGAAUUGAGUAUAGCCUUCUCUAAUUAAAAAGGAGUGAAACUAUGAUUAAUAUUGCUGGCGACUUCAUGUGCUAUGUUCAUUGCAAAAUGCAAAUACAUAACUUCUUCAAAAUACUACUAAGGGUGGAAAAAAAAUCUUGUUAAGUUUUGUUUACUGUCGGUAGGUUUAAAUUGACUUAUAUCCUAAGUGCAUUUACUUAGAACUUUUUUUGUAAGGGCGAGUUAGGAUUACUGAUUACCUGGAAAUAAUGGAUGACCUCACACGAAAGGUGUCCAAGUGGCCCAGCAUAAAUCAACUUUCCACCUCUUUUCAUCAGCAGUAACUGCAUAUAUAUUAUAAUCUAAUUAGUAAAUAUGUUACUUAACUUCCAUAUAAAUUGUAUUGUUGAAGGAAUUAAUGAUCAAUAAUGUACAGUAUAUUACAUUGAACUAGCUUAAUCACUCACAUGAUUGGACAGUUAUACUUAAACAUUAGAAAAUGCACACAUAAAUAUUAAAAAUAUGGUUGUGCUUGUUAUAGAAUUUUGAUAUUUAUAAAUGGAUAUAUAUGAAGGUGUUCUCACAUACAUCUAAUUGAUCAUCACAGUUAUAGUUUAAAUCAUACAAAGAUAACCGGAGUAGAUAUUUUUAUUUUUUCUCCAGUUAAUCUGGGAAUUUCUGCCCCAAUGAAUGAACGUGUCAGCUCAUUUUAACAUUGUUUUCAUAAUAUAACAGAGGCCCCGUACUUUGUUAUAAAAAUUCCAGUAAUUUCACUGUUAGCUUCUUGAACAAUUAGUUUGAGGCAGACUCUGUAUUGGACUUAGUUUGGGGUUCUUUAAGUAGCCAGUUAAUAUGGUUUGGAAACUUUCAGUUCUGGUAGAUAAAGCACGCUCACCAUUUUGCUCGGAUCAUGUGUAGUCCUGAGAAGGAAGAUUAACCAUAUAGUUUGUGUUUACCAAGGAAAAUGAAAUAAAGAAGAUUCUUAUACAGUGGAAAAACCGCAAAAGAUUUUUUUUUCAAGCUGAUAAUUUUUUGUUAAUCAACAUAUUAAACUGUUACAAUGUCUGGUGCGACCAAGCCGUUCUACUCUUACAGACAUAUAUGCUUGGUGCCUAAGGUUUAAUAGAUGAUUCCCUGCAGGGCUUUUAUGGGCUGACUGGGACAAGAAUCAGAACAUUAGCAACCUACCUAGCAGGAGGGUUCAUCUAUAUAUGUACUAAUCUCACGGUUCAGUCGGAGAUAGCAUGCAAUUUAUUCCCUGUCUGAUAAUUAAGCUAGCACCUGCUACUUCCAAUUGUUCCAGGAAGGCGAACAAAUGCUUCAUAAUAAUUUCAGGAUGAAGUUGUAACACUUGGUUAUUCAUGUUUUGAUUGGAUCGAAGCUUUUUUUUUUUGAACCCAGCGGAGGAGCCCCACGGUUUUUUUAAUUAGAAGGGUGAGACACACAGAAUUUGAUUCCCUUGGGAGUCGAACCUAGGCCGGCUGCCUGCAAGAUGGCAGAGCUAGCCACGCAAGCAGGCGCUCAGUCUCUGAAAGCUGAUUUUUGAUAUCCUUAUCUGAAAUAAUCACCUUAUAAAACUACAUAUACGAUGAAUCUACGCUAGAUUUCUUGCACUUGAAAACUACCAUUAAUAAGCAUAUAUUUUGGAGGCUGAGAGAUGGAAUCUUGGAGAAGGCUAUAUAUGUAAAGUUACCUCAUCAAAUGCCUCAAAUAUCUCAGUACUUGGUUGGUGAAUGGUGCACAGAACUGUUCGGCCUGCGUCUGCAACGUUCUUCACUGCACGCAUGACGAUGGCAGCUGCCCUUGCAUCCAAACCUGAUGUUGGCUCAUCCAUGAAUAUGAUUGAAGGAUUAGACACGAGCUCGACUGCAAUAGUGAGCCGUUUCCGUUGCUCUGUUGAUAGACCAUUUACACCAGGUACUCCAACCAAAGAAUCUCUAAUUUCGUCCAGCUCAAUUGUUUCAAGGACUUCAUUGACAAAUUCCUGCGAGGGAAAGAAAUGCGGUGAGCUGACAGUUUCAUGAAAGUUGUUCCCAGCACCUAGGAUACAAGUAUAAAAACCAUAUACACUAAACUUUUUUUUUUUGUAUAGAUUUGAGUAUGUCUUUUUUCCCUUAUAGUAGCAAAUAUAGCUCACAUUUCUUGUUUUUGAAUCAAUUUCUGGCGGAAGGCGCAAUGAAGCUGAAUAUGCAACUGACUCCCCCACUGUGAUUUGUGGAGAAUGAACAUCAGUUUGUUCACAGUAGCCUGAUAUUCUAGCAAAAGUCUGCUGCACUUUCGGAUAACCUCCUAUUCUUAUAUCUCCUUCAAUAACACCGCCUGUUUUCCUUCCAGAAAGAACAUCAAGGAGUGUUGUUUUUCCAGCUCCAGUAACUCCCAUGAGUGCCGAGAGAACCCCUGGCUGGAAUGCUCCUGUGAGAUUGUGGAGUAGUUGUAGUUUACUUUCUAUGUAACCAUGCUCCUUCAUUUCCUGCAACAGGGAAAUACGUAGUUAUUGGUAUGGCAAGCUCUCCGGUCAUGUGUUCUUAGAUGUUGAAGCUACAUGAGAAUUACCACAGGGGUGUCUACAUAGUAGUUGACAUCCUGGAAUGAUAUUGUAAGGGAUGUGAAAGGCAAUACCAUCCUCCCUGCUCAAUAUUUAAUUAUCGAUCAGUCAACUCUUAAUUAUAUACCAUUGACAGUUUGAGUUGCAUUUAGUUGUGUCAUGUUACUAACCGGUCCUAUGAGCUGUCAAAUCAGUUUCUGCUUGUAACUUAGGCAUCCCAUUUUUUGUAUCCAUCGGCAUACCUUGGUCUCUUCUGUCAAAUGUGGUAGGCUUUUUGCGAGAGAUAAUAGCUUGAGAAGUUCCUGGAACUGAGAGGCUCAUAGGAGGUAAGAACAGAGGAAACAUGUUCUUCUGAAUGGAACUAUUUUUGCUCCACUUCAGAUGUUAUUUUUUCUCCAGCAUAUGCUUGAUUGAGUUUGCUAUUCAUGUGAUGCUAUUAAACUAGAAAAGUUAAAUAUUGAAGUUUAGUUUAAUGAAAAUUUUCAGCCUUGUGUUACUUACGGUUUUUAAUAGUCAGGCCGGUGGCAAAGCAUACAUUAAACAACAAAAUAAACCCAACGAGUGCUCCGACUGAGAUCCAGUAGAAGUAGCUGGGGAAGUCUAGCCCUUGACCCAUUAGUAUCCUCCUUCCAAGUGUUGCACCAGAUACCGUGAUCU